rnacentral:pre_miRNA from 1 species
CAAAUACUCCCUCCGUCCGGAAAUACUUGUCAUCAAAAUGGAUAAAAGGAAAUGUAUCUAGACGUAUUUUAGUUUUAGAUACAUCUCUUUUUAUGCAUUUUGAUGACAAGUAUUUUCGGACGGAGGGAGUAGAAA